UUACCUACGGGGGGCAGCAGUGGGGGAUAUUGGACAAUGGGGGGAACCCUGAUCCAGCGACGCCGCGUGAGUGAAGAAGUAUCUCGGUAUGUAAAGCUCUAUCAGCAGGGAAGAAAGAAAUGACGGUACCUGAGUAAGAAGCCCCGGCUAACUACGUGCCAGCAGCCGCGGUAAUACGUAGGGAGCAAGCGUUAUCCGGAUUUACUGGGUGUAAAGGGCGUGUAGGCGGGCUUGUAAGUCAGAAGUGAAAUCUGGGGGCUUAACCCCCAAACUGCUUUUGAAACUGCGGGUCUUGAGUGAUGGAG
rnacentral:rRNA from 1 species